AGACCCAACUCAGCCAAAAAUAAAAAUAAAUAAAUAAAUUUAUAUAUUAAAAAAAAGAAUGAACCAGAAGUAGAAAAAAAAAAGAUUGUUAAUAACAUCUUUUUGACAGACUUGAGCACUUUGGGUUCCUCUUUUUACCUUCACAAGCACUUCUUAAAUCUUACUGCGGAAUCAUAGCAAAGCCAGCAAGUCCCACAGAAAAUUAAAUAUUCCUGAAUUAUCUCCAGGGUAAUGAGGCCUGAAGUCCCUGGCUAUAUAUAGGCUUUUAAAAUCAGACACCUGCUGGACUUUGUUCUAUUGAGAACUUUAUUUUGAGGGAAAGAGCCCAAAUCAUAUCUCCUGUCAGGUAAUAUUAAGAAUUAAGUGGUAAUCAUAAAACGUGUUAAGACUUAAGUAAAGUUGAUAAAAGAAUUGUUGACUUUUCCUCAACUGUCUGUUUAGUGAAAAAUUUUAAUGUUUUGUGUUAUGUUUCUUUUUUUUUUGCAAGCAGAUAGAGUCCAUAAUUCAAACUGUCAUUACAUUUCCAGCGACUUCUGAGAAGGUGCCCAGACCACAGAAUUUAGAAAGCAAGGAGCCAGCACUGUUGUGUGUCACACUUGUUAGGAAGAUUUCUCUGUUGGCAGGAGUCUUGUGUCCCCCUCUGAUAAUCACUGAGCUUGCAGCCAGACGAACACUGAGAAAAUUGUAUUGUUUUCCUUUGAAUGAUGGCUAAGAUGUAUUGCCAAGGCCAUAAAUAUUCUUUAUGUUGA